rnacentral:misc_RNA from 1 species
AACGCACCUUGCACUUUUCAGGUCUCCUGGAAAGUAUCCUUGUUUGAGUAUCAUAAACACACCUCUCAGAAGAAGACCUUUCUUCUUCUUCUGGAAGUGAGACGUCAGGGAACAACAACACACAUGAUGCUGUUCCUCCUUGUGUCUUUUAAUUGAUAUGCAGUGCGCUUCCACACACACCCGCGUGUGGCGUGGAUGCCCAACUACUAAAUGUGAGAUAGAUAUCGCACAAAGCGGUAGUUGGGUCAAGUGCUGCUACGCCCAGCGCAUGCGUAAUAUAGUAGCGCAGCGCACCGAGUCAUUGAUCUCAAAUCAAGUAAGAACACCCGCUGAACUUAA